AUUGAACGCUGGCGGCAGGCCUAACACAUGCAAGUCGAACGGUAACAGGAAGAAUCUUGCUUCUUUGCUGACGAGUGGCGGACGGGUGAGUAAUGUCUGGGAAACUGCCUGAUGGAGGGGGAUAACUACUGGAAACGGUAGCUAAUACCGCAUAAUGUCGCAAGACCAAAGAGGGGGACCUUCGGGCCUCUUGCCUUCGGAUGUGUCCAGAUGGGAUUAGCUAGUAGGUGGGGUAACGGCUCACCUAGGCGACGAUCCCUAGCUGGUCUGAGAGGAUGACCAGCCACACUGGAACUGAGACACGGUCCAGACUCCUACGGGAGGCAGCAGUGGGGAAUAUUGCACAAUGGGCGAAAGCCUGAUGCAGCUAUGCCGCGUGUAUGAAGAAGGCCUUCGGGUUGUAAAGUACUUUAAGCGGGGAGGAAGGGAGUAAAGUUAAUACCUUUGCUCAUUGACGUUACCCGCAGAAGAAGCACCGGCUAACUCCGUG
rnacentral:rRNA from 1 species